GUCUCUUUGAUAUAUAAUAAUAAGGAGUUGGGCCUGCUCGGUGAUAUUUUUAACAGCUGCGGUAUUAUAACUGUACUAAGGUAGCAUAAUAAUUUGCCUUAUAAAUUAGGGCUAGAAUGAAUGGUUUGACGAAAAUUAUACUGUCUCUACUUUAAUUAUUAGAAAUUAAUUUUUAUAGUGAAAAGCUUGGAUGAUUUAAAGGGACGAGAAGACCCUAUUGAGCUUUAUGUUAAAUAUAUAUAAUUAUAAAAUAUUAUUUAUUUUUUAUUUUGGUUGGGGUGAUCAAGGAAUAAAAUUUUAAUAGUAUAAUUUCCUUAUUAAUAUUAUUUGUUAGAAUAAUAAACCAAAAAUUUUGCUUAAAUGAUAAGUUACCAUAGGGAUAACAGCGUAAUUUUUUUAGAGAGUUCAUAUUAAAAAAAAAGAUUGCGACCUCGAUGUUGGAUUAAAAUAACCAUUAGGUGUAGAAGCUUUAUUUGGUAAAUCUGUUCGAUUUUUAAAAUUUUAC
rnacentral:rRNA from 1 species